GACGAACGCUGGCGGCGUGCUUAACACAUGCAAGUCGAACGGAAAGGCCCUGCUUUUGUGGGGUUCUCGAGUGGCGAACGGGUGAGUAACACGUGAGUAACCUGCCCUUGACUUUGUGAUAACUUCAGGAAACUGCGGCUAAUACCGGAGAGGAGCUCCUGCUGCAUGGUGGGGGUUGGAAAGUUUCGGCUGUGGGGGAUGUACUCGCGGCUUAUGAGCUGGUUGGUGGGGUAGGUGCCUACCAGGCCUUGGAGGGGUAGCCGGCGUGAGAGGUUGAUCGGCCACCUUAGAGGGGGAACAGGGACAAGGGGACUACGAGACGCAGCAGUGGGGAAUGGGCGGCAGUGGGGGAGAAUAUGGCAGAACGGGGGGAAGUGUGAGGCGAAAGUCUCGGGUGCGGAAAGCAGGCUUACGGGGGGGAAACAGCUGUGGCCUGUGACGUAGCGGGAGUGACGGUACUGGGUAAAGAAGCACCGGCUAACUACGUG
rnacentral:rRNA from 1 species